rnacentral:rRNA from 1 species
AUUAUUAUAUUAUUAAUUAAUAUAAUUAAUAGGAACUAAGACAAAUCAUAAUGACCCUUAUAAUAUGGGCUAUAGACGUGCUAUAAUAAAAUAAAAAUCAAGUUAUAUAAUAUUAUAAUCAAUCAUAAUAUAAUAAAUAACAAAAAAUAUUUUAAUCUUUAAUAUAUUUAUAUAUUAUAUAUAAUAUGAAUUAUUAUCUGUAAUUCGAUAAUAUGAAAUAAGAAUUGUUAGUAAUACAUAAAUUAGUAUGUUAUGGUGA